AAUCAACGCUGGCGGCGCGCCUAACACAUGCAAGUCGAACGAGAAAGGGGAGCAAUCCCUGAGUACAGUGGCGUACGGGUGAGUAACACGUGGAUGAUCUACCCUUUUGUGGGGAAUAACCAUGGGAAACCGUGGCUAAUACCGCAUAAGCUCGAGAGAGGAAAGCAGCAAUGCGCAGAAGGAGGAGUCCGCGGCCGAUUAGCUAGUUGGCAGGGUAAAAGCCUACCAAGGCAGAGAUCGGUAGCCGGCCUGAGAGGGCACACGGCCACACUGGCACUGAAACACGGGCCAGACUCCUACGGGAGGCAGCAGUGGGGAAUCUUGCACAAUGGGGGAAACCCUGAUGCAGCGACGCCGCGUGAGCGAUGAAGCCCUUCGGGGUGUAAAGCUCUUUCGGCAGGGAAGAUGAUGACGGUACCUGCAGAAGCAGCUGCGGCUAACUACGUGCCAGCAGCCGCGGUAAUACGUAGGCAGCAAGCGUUGUUCGGAGUUACUGGGCGUAAAGGGUGUGUAGGCGGUUGUUUAAGUUUGGUGUGAAAUCUCCCGGCUCAACUGGGAGGGUGCGCCGAAUACUGAAUGACUAGAGUGCGGGAGAGGAAAGUGGAAUUCCUGGUGUAGCGGUGAAAUGCGUAGAUAUCAGGAGGAACACCGGUGGUGUAGACGGCUUUCUGGACCGUAACUGACGCUGAAACACGAAAGCGUGGGUAGCAAACAGGAUUAGAUACCCUGGUAGUCCACGCCCUAAACGAUGCAUAUUUGGUGUGGGCAGUUCAUUCUGUCCGUGCCGGAGCUAACGCGUUAAAUAUGCCGCCUGGGGGAGUACAGUCGCAAGGCUGAAACUCAAGGGAAUUGACGGGGGCCC
rnacentral:rRNA from 1 species